UACGAAGGGGGCUAGCGUUGCUCGGAAUUACUGGGCGUAAAGCGCACGUAGGCGGAUUGUUAAGUCGGGGGUGAAAUCCUGGAGCUCAACUCCAGAACUGCCUUCGAAACUGGCGAUCUUGAGUUCGGGAGAGGUGAGUGGAACUGCGAGUGUAGAGGUGAAAUUCGUAGAUAUCGAGAGGAACACCGGUGGCGAAGGCGGCCUUCUGGACAGUGACUGACGCUGAGACGCGAAAGCGUGGGGAGCAAACAGG
rnacentral:rRNA from 1 species